UGGGGGAUAUUGCACAAUGGGGGAAACCCGUGAUGCAGCGACGCCGCGUGGGUGAAGAAGCGCCUCUGCGCGUAAAGCCCUGUCAGCAGGGAAGAAAAUGACGGUACCUGAAGAAGAAGCCCCGGCUAACUACGUGCC
rnacentral:rRNA from 1 species